GUCCAGGUGGCGAAGUGGUAACGCUGGGGACUGCAAAUCCUCCACGCGCGGGUUCGAUUCCCGCCCUGGACU
rnacentral:tRNA from 1 species